CAAGCUUGCAGACAGCCUACCAUGGGACCUUGUGAUUGUCCUGCACCAAUGGCCUCAUGGGCAGUUUCCUAUGACCAGUUGACAGAGGAAGAGAAGACUAGGGCCUGGUUCACAGAUGGUUCUGCACGAUAUGCAGGCACCACCUGAAAGUGGACAGCUGUGGCACUACAGCCCCUUUCUAGGAUAUACCUGAAGGACACCAGUGAAGGGAGAUCUUCCCAGUGGGCAGAAAUUCGAGCAGUGCACCUGGUUGUCCACUUUGCAUGGAAGAAGAAAUGGCCAGAUAUGCGGUUAUAUACUGAUUCAUGGGCUGUAGCCAGUGGUUUCGCUGGAUGGUCAGAGACUUGGAAGAAGCAUGAUUGGAAAACUGGUGACAAAGAAUUUUGGGGAAGAGAUAUGUGGAUGGACCUCUCUGAGUAGUCAAAAACUGUGAAGAUAUUUGUAUCCCAUGUGAGUGUUCACCAACAGAUGACCUCAGCAGACGAGGAUUUUAAUAAUCAAGCGGAUACGAUAACCCGUUUUGUGGACACCACUCA